CAAAAAAACAACGGCAAAUAUUAAUAGCAUAAGCACGAGCGCAUGUGUGGCAUGAAAUAUGCUUGUUCAAUUAUGCAUUCAAGCAGAGGUGUCGCAUCAAUGUCCAAGCAACAACAAGUAUAACAACAACUGCAUUUUUAUCUUACAGCAACCCAUAUCAAUUACGAAAACGAACCCAAAUAACAUAUCAAAAUACUAAUAAGUCUGUAAUAAAAAACGAAUCAACAAGAGCAAUGCAGGUAAACAUAUCGCAUGAA